UAGAGUGACUGAGCAUCUCCUUCUUCUCUCUCCAAGACCGUCUGGCUGAAGACACACUUAAGAGCACGAACAUCCCACAUGAAAGAACAACCAUUCACUAAAGAAGAGGGAGAAAAAGCAGCACAAAAGCAUUCACUUGGAGAGAAAAAGAAAGGAUAAAAAAGAAGGGAGGAGAAUCAAAAUCAACAGUGGUGAAGACCUGGAAGGUGUUUGAGUACAAUUCUCAAAAAACCAAGAGAAAGCGCAUGAAUCUGUACAGCUGUGCACAGCCCCACCCUCUCCAGCACCGGGGGCAGAGCCGUGCCACCAAAAAGUGAUUCGAUCAAAAAAAAAAGAACAUUUUUAAAAAUCAAUACAUAUACUGUAAUUCAGGCUAAGUAAAGACAUUGCAAUGCAGGGCGAACAGGCAAAAAGAAUCGGUACAGUUCAUCAACAUCAACAUGGGUAAGUCAGUAAGAACGUUUCAAGAGUGGAUCACAGGAACCCUUGCAAAAUUCUUUUUUUUUAAAAAAAGGGGGAGAGAGGGAAAAAAAGUUCUGUAGCUACAAAGCACAAGAAAUAUACCUUUAAUAAUGUUACAGAAUAAUCAUUGAUAUUGGUGUUAUCAUCUUCAUCGUCGUUAUCGUCUGAUAUUAUUGUCAUCCUUUUUUUUCUUUUUUUUCAAUUAUCUCUACUCGUAAAGAUUCUAGAAUUGGAGGAUCUACAGCUUUCUACAAAGACUGACAGCCCAAUGACCUUCAUCUGCAAGCCUCCAUAUCAUUUCCCUGAGCCCAACAUCUACCCGCCCACCCCGUAACCCCGCCCACAUGAUGCCCAUUCUUUUUUGCUGUGUCUGUCUUUUCCGUUUUCUUUUUUCCUCUUUUUUUGUUCUUUUUAUUUUGUGUUUUAUUCUUUCUUUUCGCACCAUUAGCUAUGUGAAGCAAGUAGCUGUUUCUUUAUACAAAGGCUGAGGGGGUCAUGCUAUCAGUGACGGGGACUCCAUUACCCAGCCAACUAAAACAGAAACCUGGGGAAAAGAAGGGAUGAAGAGGGAAGGGUGACAACGGACGAGAGGUAGAAGAAUGGACGAAGUGGAGUAAGUACAAAGGAAGUGCGUGGGACAGAUGAUCAAUAAAUAAAUUAAUAAAUUAAUCAACAACAAUACAAAAGUAAUAGUUCCUCACAAGACAAAUGUUAAUAAGUUCUCAUAACAGUGACCUAGUGUUUCUAGUACUGUUCCCAGACACGUCAAUCUCAGAAGGUUGGCACUGAUAUGACACUUGCAAUCAUAGUACUGGUUCGACAGACCUGGGGUCACAUGCCAAGCGGCCCAGGCCCUUCCCCAGAGAGCUGAGCUACGGAAGUGACGGGGAUGGGUAGAAACGAAACGUAAGAAAAGCCUGGGUUAUUCCAUUCUUUAUGAUAUGGAACGGUACUACAGUGAUUAAAAAUCCGAAACAAGGACACGCCACAACUGACUUGAACUAUAGUGCUCCAGACUAGCAUAACCGUGGAUUUAGCUAUCGUCACAUUAUCGUCAAAGUAAAAUUCGUAUAGCCAGGCAAACAUGUACAGGUCAUCCCCCUGACUGAUAUUUGUGUAAUAAAUAUACAUACAAUGACAUAAAACAUAAAAAAAAAAAAUGAGGGUUGUUUAGUUUCAAUGAUAAAGACACAGUGGAAAACAGGGGAGAACAAAACAUACAACAGCAAAGAAAAACAAAAACAACACAAAAAAAGGUCCCAACUUUGUUCUAAAACCAUAAAGGCUGGGUUUCUAUAAGAAAUCAGUUCUGUUGGCAGCUCUUUGAAAGACAAACUAAAAACAUUUCAUAUAUAUAUAAUAUAUUUAUAUAUUUGUAUAUGCCUAUUUUAAAAUUAUCAUUAUCAUUAUUUACCAACUUGCAUUUUCAAUAAUAAUCAUUUCCAAAGAAGUGGCUCGAGAGGGAGGGGGCGGGCCUCAGUACAAGCCGCAGCCUCGCAGGUUGUUGGCGAUGAUGAUGUCGGUCACAGCAUCGAACACCACCUGGAUGUUUCCUGUAUCCGUGGCACAGGUCAAGUGACAGUAGAUCUCCUUAUUAGGUGAGCGGUUCUUGCUUUCAAAUUGU
ensembl:lncRNA